CAGCGAAGGACUGCUAGGCUUCGCCCUCAUGCCCGGAGCUGCCUUAUGUACCACUCCCUUCUCUGUAGAAAAAGCAGAAGUGGAUCCUGCUGCAGAACUGCCUGAGGCAAGGGAAGCAAACCUGAACUCUCUUCUGAGUCCACUGACACUGCUUAUUAAUCAGCCAGACGAUUCACCGCUGAGGGACACAAGGGCCUCCCUCCCUGGGGGAAAUCCUUCUGCAUCCAGGGAGCACCACCUGUCCCCAAGAAACCUAGGAAACAGGAUUCUGGGAAGUAGGUUCAGCACAGAUGUAUACUGUGUAAAGAUUUAUUGACUUAAUGGUAUAUCUAUGUUGAAUUUAAUCUCGGGAACGUAAACUACAGACAGUCUUUCCUCCCUCCCCAUUUCUGCUCUUAUGUGGAUGUCAGGAGACGCACAGAAUGCCACUUAAUUCAGAUUUCAGCAUGAUCAUCAGUGGUUUGUCACUUGUUAUUCAGUUGUUUGCUUCUGCAGUGAAAUGUUU
rnacentral:lncRNA from 1 species